CUACGGGACGCUCCAGUGAGGAAUAUUGCGCAAUGGGGGAAACCCUGACGCAGCAACGCCGCGUGGAGGAUGACGCAUUUCGGUGUGUAAACUCCUUUUAUAUGUCAAGAAAAUGACGGUAGCAUAUGAAUAAGCACCGGCUAACUCAGUGCCAGCAGCCGCGGUAAUACGGAGGGUGCAAGCGUUACUCGGAAUCACUGGGCGUAAAGGACGCGUAGGCGGGUUGGAAAGUCAGGUGUGAAAUCCUACAGCUUAACUGUAGAACUGCACUUGAAACUUCUAAUCUAGAGUAUGGGAGGGGGAGAUGGAAUUAGUGGUGUAGGGGUAAAAUCCGUAGAUAUCACUAGGAAUACCUAAAGCGAAGGCGAUCUCCUGGAACAUUACUGACGCUAAGGCGUGAAAGCGUGGGGAGCAAACAGGAUUAGAUACCCCUGUAGUC
rnacentral:rRNA from 1 species